GGCUGGUCCGAUGGUAGUGGGUUAUCAGAACUUAUUAACAUUAGUGUCACUAAAGUUGGUAUACAACCCCUUGCUGCUAAAUUUGACCAGCAAAA
rnacentral:Y_RNA from 1 species